AUUGAACGCUGGCGGCAGGCUUAACACAUGCAAGUCGAGCGGAGAUGAGGUGCUUGCACCUUAUCUUAGCGGCGGACGGGUGAGUAAUGCUUAGGAAUCUGCCUAUUAGUGGGGGACAACAUUCCGAAAGGAAUGCUAAUACCGCAUACGUCCUACGGGAGAAAGCAGGGGAUCUUCGGACCUUGCGCUAAUAGAUGAGCCUAAGUCGGAUUAGCUAGGUGGUGAGGUAAAGGCCUACCAAGGCGACGAUCUGUAGCGGGUCUGAGAGGAUGGUCCGCGACACUGGGACUGAGACACGGCACAGACUCCUACGGGAGGCAGCAGUGGGGAAUAUUGGACAAUGGGGGGAACCCUGAUCCAGCCAUGCCGCGUGUGUGAAGAAGGCCUUAUGGUUGUAAAGCACUUUAAGCGAGGAGGAGGCUACUGAGACUAAUACUCUUGGAUAGUGGACGUUACUCGCAGAAUAAGCACCGGCUAACUCUGUGCCAGCAGCCGCGGUAAGAC
rnacentral:rRNA from 1 species